rnacentral:lncRNA from 1 species
ACAGCUGCAUGAUAAUCUCUCUAAUGGCUUCAUUCUCCUCAGUUUUGGAGUUCUCUUCAGUUAGGGAACUGAAAAUAACAUGCUCAAGCUCAUCCUCCCUGAAAUUCUCAACAAAUUCCUCAACCAAAUGGUCAAUAACAUCAAUCAUGAACACAGAUUCAGGAUCCUCAACAUGCUUCAUAGCCUCAAAAAUAUUAAAUGUGACAACAUCUCCAUCAAAUUCAAGGCUAAG